rnacentral:rRNA from 1 species
ACUCCUACGGGAGGCAGCAGUAGGGAAUCUUCCGCAAUGGGCGAAAGCCUGACGGAGCAACGCCGCGUGAGUGAUGAAGGUCUUCGGAUCGUGAAACUCUGUUAUUAGGGAAGAACAUAUGUGUAAGUAACUGUGCACAUCUUGACGGUACCUAAUCAGAAAGCCACGGCUAACUACGUGCCAGCAGCCGCGGUAAUACA